UUACGUCCAUAUCGCGUUGAAACGCCGGUUCUCGUGCGAUCACCGAAGUUAAGCAACGUCGAGCCUGAUCAGUACCAAGAUGGAUGACCGCCA